rnacentral:lncRNA from 1 species
AUUGUUUUAGUUUUCUUAGAGGAGGAAGCAAAGUUCCGAAAGAGAAGAGAGAAGAGAGGAGGUGUGAAUGCACUAGGCAAGGACAGUCUGAGUGCCUGACUCACCGGAAGUUUCCUAACAUGCAAUUAAAGUGAAACCAGAGUGCGGAUACUGCAGCGGCAACACUGAAUGGGGGAGUAGGAGAGAUGUGGAUUUCCUUAGGCACGUGGUCUUUCCAAACCAUGGAUUGAGAGAGGCAGAGAAGGCUGUGAGCAAGCCCAGCGCUGGACGACUACUUCCUCUGGAGGUGACCUGUUCUUUCUGCCUGGAACCUGUGAGAUUUUCUCAUCAUCCUUGAGGUUCAGGAAUUUCACCAGGUGAAAGAUUCUAGGUUGGCGCAAGGAGAAAUGCCAUGUGUCUCAGCUAUGCCAAGAAAUGAGACUGGAGUAGGCCAGAGCACCUGCCUGAGGAUCCAUCCAGGAAAGAGAACAGGGCAUCUGUAUUAGUCAGAGUUCUCCAGAGAAACAGAACCAAUAAGCGAGAGAGCAAGAUUAUGAAGAAUUGGCUUGUGUAGUUAUAGAGGCUGGCAAGUCCAAAAUCUGCAGGAUGGGUGAGCAGGCUAGAGACCCAGGAGAACUAAGGCUGCAGUUCAAGUCUAAAGGCCAUCAGGUUCAUCAG